CAGAGUUCUCACGAGAUCUGGUUGUUUGAAAGUGAUAGAACGUCCCUGCUUUGCUCUCUCUCUCUUUCUCUCUCCUUCCCCACCAUGUGAAGAUUGUGCCUACUUCCCCUUUGCCUUCCACCAUGAUUGUAAGUUUCCUGAGGUCUCCCCAGCCAUGCCUCCUAUAUAGCCCACAGAACUGUGAGUCAACUAAACCUCUUUUCUUCAUAAAUUACUCAGUCUCAGGUAUAUCUUUAUAAGAGUGCGAGAACAGAUUAAUAGACUAGCUUUGUGUCAUUCGACAAUUAUCAUCUUUCUGAGCCUGUUUCCUAAUCUGUAAAAUUGAAAGAAUAAUCCCUACCUCAUGGAGUCGAGGUGAUGAUUUGAUGUAAUAUGGUGUAAUAUAAUACAGUAAAAGAACCCCUUCCUUUUACUCCCAGCUUUAAUAUUUGAGGACAACUCCUAGCUAGCAAGAGGAGUGGGAAAAGUAGAGUAAAUCCUCCGUUACACCUCAAGUAUCUCAGAUCUCUCAAGACACAAGGACCAGGGCUUCCCUUUGUCUAAGCAUCUGGCUGGUGGCAAUGAACAUUUUACAGACACCCAGGUUGUUAUUCUAAAGGUGCACUGGAGCCGAACUUCAGGAUGGAGCUCAGCUGUUAACCCAUUAGUGACUCACCCAACCAUGGAGACCCAGGGAUUUGUGUAAGGGCUAAGAUGCUGCAAGACCUGCUGAUUGGGAGCCAAAGAUUCUGAAUUUGCAGACUGAAGGCUCCCUUUCGUCACUUGCCCCUCAGACCCGGAAUCCUUGCUUAUCAGUGGGAAGUGGCUGUCUGCUGGAUCCCAUUUGACAUCCCUGAGCCUGGGAACUAUCUGCCAGCAUCCAUCCUGAAUGCAAGUAAUGGCCUGGCCUCAGAGCUGAGAGCACCUGGUGCUGGGCCCACGGCCCUUCAGAGGCUGGCAAACCAGUGCUUCCACAGAAGGCUCAGGAAGAUGGGCGGAGGGUGUGGUGGUUUCGCCGGGCAGCUCCUCUCUGCUGUGGACCCUCACUGGAUUCAUCAUCUAGGGUGUUCUAGUAAGUAAU
rnacentral:lncRNA from 1 species